AGUAAUGUAUGGGGAUCUGCCCGAUAGAGGGGGGUAACUACUGGAAACGGUGGCUAAUACCGCAUAAUGUCUACGGACCAAAGCAGGGGCUCUUCGGACCUUGCACUAUCGGAUGAACCCAUAUGGGAUUAGCUAGUAGGUGGGGUAAAGGCUCACCUAGGCGACGAUCUCUAGCUGGUCUGAGAGGAUGAUCAGCCACACUGGGACUGGGACACGGCCCAG
rnacentral:rRNA from 1 species